UGGGAAUAUUGCACAAUGGGCGAAAGCCUGAUGCAGCAACGCCGCGUGAGUGAUGAAGGCCUUCGGGUUGUAAAGCUCUGUCUUUUGGGACGAUAAUGACGGUACCAAAGGAGGAAGCCACGGCUAACUACGUGCCAGCAGCCGCGGUAAUACGUAGGUGGCAAGCGUUGUCCGGAUUUACGGGCGUAAAGGAUGCGUAGGCGGAUUUUUAAGUGAGAUGUGAAAACCCUAAGCUUAACUUGGGGACUGCAUUUCAUACUGGAAAUCUAGAGUGCGGGAGAGGAGAAUGGAAUUCCUAGUGUAGCGGUGAAAUGCGUAGAGAUUAGGAAGAACACCAGUGGCGAAGGCGAUUCUCUGGACCGUAACUGACGCUGAGGCAUGAAAGCGUGGGUAGCAAACAGGAUUAGAUACCCUGGUAGUCCACGCCGUAAACGAUGAGUACUAGGUGUAGGAGGUAUCGACCCCCUUCUGUGCCGCAGUUAACACAAUAAGUACUCCGCCUGGGAAGUACGAUCGCAAGAUUUAAAAACUCAAAGGAAUUGACGGGGGUCAUAGCUGUUUUU
rnacentral:rRNA from 1 species